AUACCUUUCUCGGCCUUUUAGCUAAGAUUAAGUGUAGUAUCUGUUCUUAUUAAUUUAAUAUCUUAUAUGUGGACCAUUGGUUUACAUGAUAUUAAAUUACUUUUUUGAGGGAAAGUGUACACUAAAGUAGCUUGCUGCUUGGACUCUCGAGUGUUGCCCAUACAUUGCACUAUAGCAUGAGUGUUGCAUCCCACCA
rfam:Medicago truncatula strain A17 chromosome 4, whole genome shotgun sequence.